CAUCGAUGUCGACAGAGUUUGAUCCUGGCUCAGGAUGAACGCUGGCGGCGUGCUUAACACAUGCAAGUCGAACGAUGAAGCAGAGCUUGCUCUGUGGAUUAGUGGCGAACGGGUGAGUAACACGUGAGUAACCUGCCCUUGACUCUGGAAUAAGCGUUGGAAACGACGUCUAAUACCGGAUACGAGCUUCCGCCGCAUGGUGAGGAGUUGGAAAGAAUUUCGGUCAAGGAUGGACUCGCGGCCUAUCAGGUAGUUGGUGAGGUAAUGGCUCACCAAGCCUACGACGGGUAGCCGGCCUGAGAGGGUGACCGGCCACACUGGAACUGAGACACGGUCCAGACUCCUACGGGAGGCAGCAGUGGGGAAUAUUGCACAAUGGGCGCAAGCCUGAUGCAGCAACGCCGCGUGAGGGACGACGGCCUUCGGGUUGUAAACCUCUUUUAGUAGGGAAGAAGCGAUGUGCUUGUCACAUCAUGACGGUACCUGCAGAAAAAGCACCGGCUAACUACGUGCCACAGCCGCGGUAAUACGUAGGGUGCAAGCGUUAUCCGGAAUUAUUGGGCGUAAAGAGCUCGUAGGCGGUUGUCGCGUCUGCUGUGAAAACUGGAGGCUCAACCUUCACCU
rnacentral:rRNA from 1 species